UAAGACCAGUCAUCAUGUUCACUGUUAUAUUCAUGUAUCUGUGGCUUUCACUAGGUGACUCCAUGGCAGAUUCAAUAGAGCCACUUUUAGAGCCUCAUAAAGCUGUAGAUGAAGGUGAUGAUGUUACUCUCUCCUGCAGAUACAAAUUCAGUAAUUCUUUAGGAAACAACUACCUCCACUGGUACAGGCAAUAUCCAAAAUCUAAACCUGAGUUCCUUCUUAUUGUUAACCAAAAAGGAAAUCUAAUUUCCAACACUGACCCAAGAAUGUCUGUUAAAGUUGAUGAUAAACAAGUGGAUCUGAUCAUCUCCUCUGCUGCUGUAUCAGACUCUGCUCUAUACUACUGUGCU